AAGUCGUAACAAGGUUUCCGUAGGUGAACCUGCGGAAGGAUCAUUAACACGUAUCCACGUUCAACCAACCGCGAACCUGUUUUCAACUCUCCCUUUGGGGUACAUGAAUUGGACUCUUAUGCAAGUAAUGAAUUGGGGCUCUCGGGCCAGCUUGUGUUUGACUACUGAGAGGAAUUCGUUCCUUUCGACAAUUGCAGUGCGCCAAAGGCAAUCUUCUGCUAUCGUUAUCUCCAUUCAUGAUGCGGUAGUGGUCAACCAUACUCACCUAUUUCACCCCCUUUUUGCUAGUUGACUUUUAUAUGUUGUUUCCAUAACGAUUAAUUUUGUUCUGGUCUCACACGUUUAAUUACUUGAACGUUAAAAUACAACUCUUAGCAAUGGAUAUCUUGGUUCUC
rnacentral:misc_RNA from 1 species